UAUAUUUAUGCAAAUGCGUUUUGUACAAGAAUGGUCGAAAGGACAAAUGGGUCAUACAGGUCAGAUGGCGAUCGCCAUUUGAACUCGGUAGCUAAUGUUUUGGUUGUUAAGUUUUAUACUCAUAACUAAACUUGAUGAAUAGACGCGCAAUGUCACUAACCGGAAAGGAAUGAUUACCGUAAAGUAUGGAUAAUGAAUCAAUGGAAUUUACUUCCGUCAGGUACGUAUAAAAAGGGUUGUAACUUUAGUAUGAGGUUAUGACUCGACUAGAGAGGGAUGCGUCAGAAUAGAAUAUGUGUAUACAAAACCGUAAUGAAAAAUGUGAAGUGAACUUCUAAAUGUUCGUAAUGAUCAUCGAGUGGUAUUGAACCUGAAUGCUCAUAACUGUGGAAAUUCUGAUAGAAUAUAAGAGACGACAAGUAUCGUUAAGAAAUGCUAACUUUGAUGUUCGGCUUGUCGGCCAUGUUCAUUUGAACAACAAAUUGUAGGAAAGAUACGCAUGGCACGUAUAACAAUAGUAACCAUGGAAAUGAAUAAAAUAAUGAUGACUAGGGAUUGGUUAUCGCAAGAAAAUUUAAAAUCUUGAUAAGUAUGAACAAUACGUUAGGAUGCUAGUUUCAAAUUGUGGACUAUGGGAUGUGUGAUUAGUCAAUUUCUCACAACAUUCUUAUGUAAGUCGUCCAAUGUAACUUGAAUGAGUGGAUGAACGAAGAAUAAGACUAGACGGGUUGUAGAAGAAAAGAAAGAGGUUUCGGGGACGAAACCUUCUUUAAGGGGGGUAGACUUGUAACACCCCAAAAAUGAUAAAUAAUAAAUAAAGAAAUUAACUUGGUUAAUGAAAGUCAUGAUAUAAUGAUAAUUAGUUAAAUAAAAAAGGCUAAGUUAAAAACUCUCCCAAAGUGGGAGGGCUAAUUGUGUAACUAGUGAAUAAAAAGGGUUAAUUGAGAAAUUAACAAAACAAAAACACAAACACGGUUGUGUUCGUGCGAACCAGGGGAGGAAGAAAGGGGAGCCAAAAACCCUAACUGCUAGAUAUCAAGAAAUUGAAGCCUAAAUCACAAGAAAAUUCGAUGCAUGGGUCCUCUUUUUCGAAAAUCUAACCCUAACUAAUGAAGUGGAACGUGUCAAGGAGAGCUCAAGCAUAGGAGGAUAACGGGUCAAGAUAAGGCAAGGUGACAAAUACACUUAUUGGAAUACUCAAGGUAAGUGAUUUCUAUAAUCACUUCUUUAGUUGUUUAAGUAAUAUAAUGUUUUAAUUAUUAAGUUCAUAUAAAGUUGAGGUUAAAUCAAUGGAUUAUUUUGAUAAAUGCACGAAUGGGUCGAAUAAUUCAUAGAUGAAUAACAAGCCGAAUACGUAUAAGUUAAGAAAUUCCUUAACUCGGAUGUUGGACUUCAAGAUCACGUGAUAGAAUAUUAUAUUACAAUCAUAUAGGAAGAAACGUGACGCAAAACGGACGAAAAAUGAGAGAGUUGUGUCCGUUUCAGUAAGGAUUAAUGGCUAGGAAAAGUGCAGAGUUGACACGGCCGGGUGGUGAACUGACACGGCCGGGUGAAGGUUCUGUCAAAAAUGUUAUUUAUGUGAUUUAUGCGCCGUAGGCUUCGGUAUAUUAUCCGUGAACUACGACGGGCCUCCCAAACAUGAUUUCGAGUGUUUCCUUGACGAUUAUAAGUUGUAAACCCAAGUCUAAGCCUCAUGUAAUUUAUAUAAGAGUGUGAUAGAUGUAUGUAAUGAAGUUGGACAUGUAUUACAUGUAAAUGUAUACAAAAAUACGUACGGAACACGUAGGUAUGAAUACAUGAUUGUAGGUAUGAUUAAAUGUAUAUUAGGUAUGUAGAUGUGUAUGAUUGUAAGUUUGUAUGUGUGCAAGUAUGUGCGAAUGCAUGAUUUGGAUGCAUUUGAGAAUUAGCGUUACUAAUAAUGCCCUUGGGUUUGAAAUAUAAGUUGAUUGGAUGCAUUUAAAUGGUUAACGUCCUUUUUAUGAAGAUGUAGUAAAUGAAUAUGUUGAGAUUACGGGUUUGGCUAACCAAGUUAUUAUUGAGUAUGUUUGAAAGUGCAGGUUAUGAAUGUCGGACUUUCGAAGUGUUGAUAUAAUAAUGAAACGGUUGAAUGUUGAAAGGAUAAUCGGAUUGAAGUAACUUAUGCGGUUAGAAUAUGCUAUGGACGUUUUAGUUUAUACAAUAUUAUAUGUUUGGUCGUCACCAUCUACUAACAGGUAAUUCCUCAAUUUUGGCGACUUGGAGAAUCGGAGCGAGCGCGUGUUCGUGUUAUGCGAUAUCAAACGCUUCCGCUAGCUUGUUCAAAUGUUUUUGAUCCAAAAUUUGUUGUAUUGGUAUUUAGUAGUAUCUUGUUGAACGAAUUGUAGAAUUGUAUCUAGUUUGUUUAUGUUUAAAACAGGGGUAUGCUCGUUUUAUGGACGGGUCAUGCCCGAUUUUUUGUUAAAUUAUAGUUUGAUAAUAUCACAUUUAGGAAGGUGAAA